rnacentral:pre_miRNA from 1 species
AAAGUACUCCCUCCGUUCCUAAAUAUAAGACCUUCUAGAGAUUACACUAUAGACUAUAUACGGAUCCGUAUAUAGUCUAUAGUGUAAUCUCUAGAAGGUCUUAUAUUUAGGAACGGAGGAAGUAACAU